rnacentral:rRNA from 1 species
GAUGAACGCUGGCGGCGUGCCUAAUACAUGCAAGUCGAGCGAACAGACGAGGAGCUUGCUCCUCUGACGUUAGCGGCGGACGGGUGAGUAACACGUGGAUAACCUACCUAUAAGACUGUGAUAACUUCGGGAAACCGGAGCUAAUACCGGAUAAUAUAUUGAACUGCAUGGUUCAAUAGUGAAAGACGGUUUUGCUGUCACUUAUAGCUUGAUCCGCGCCGCAUUAGCUAGUUGGUAAGGUAAGGGAUUACCGAGGCAACGACGGGUAGCCGACCUGAGAGGGGGAUCGGCCAAGCUGGAACUGAGACACGGUCCAGAAUACUACGGGAGGGAGCAGUAGGGAAUCUUCCGCGAUGGGCGAAAGCCUGACGGAGCAACGCCGCGUGAGUGAUGAAGGUCUUCGGAUCGUAAAACUCUGUUAGGAGGGAAGAACAAAUGUGUAAGUAACUAUGCACGUCUUGACGGUACCUAAUCAGAAAGCCACGGCUAACUACGUG